UGGGACUUGGUGAGGAGAGCAAAUUUAAAGGCCCCCAGAGGAGACUAAGCUUGAUGAUAAGAUGAAGGCCACGCCAGCAUCACCACACAAGGAGAGAGGUGGAAAGAGACAAGAAGAGGUGGUUGUAUUAGUUUCCUAUGGCUGCUAUGGUGGCUCAAAACAAGAGAAAUUCAUUGUCUCAUAAACCAGGAGGCCAGAAGUUGAAAUUAAGGAUCAUUCUGACCAGUAUAUAAAGAAAGAGUUCUCAGUAGAAGAGAAAAGACAUACGAAAAGCCAGUGCACUGACUCCUGCAGUCAUUAAGGAGAGAGAUGAUAGAGGCUUGAAGCGAGCGUGUUGGCAUUUACAGCCGAGGGGUGUGGACCUUGGGGGAAGGAUCUGAAGGAUUUGCUACUCUGGUGGGACUCUCCCUAUGGGACGAAUGAUCAUUCAGCACUGACUUAAGGCUUGGCUAUGUGACUAGCUGUGGCCAAUGAACUGUGAGCAGAAGUGGCGAGUUAUUCACCAAACAGAAACUUUCAAAUCCAUUGCAUGCUCUGCAUUGCACUUUGCCUUCAGGGUCAAGAUCCCAGCUGGGACUCACUGCUUCAGCACAAACCCAGUGGAAGAAGAUGUGAAGAGCAGGUCUCUACCCAAUAUUUCGUGUGGGGGAAAAAUAAACCUUGUUUCUGGGAGCUAUGGAGACUCGGGACUAACCAUUAACCACAGCAUAAACUAGAGAAAGCUGAGAAAACCAUCACAUCCUAUGUAGGGAAGUUGUAAAAUGAGAUGCUCUUAAUGGCUCUGGAGCCCACGGGCUUGUGGGAGGAACAGCAACCUUUACAUCAAACUUAUCUAAGGUCUGAGCCUAAGUCUGCCACAUACUAAGUUCUGAACAUCCACCAAUGAACCAAUGUCUCUGAGACUCAAUUUCCCAUCUGUCUUACAGGACUGUUGUGGGAUUAAAUGUGACCAUAUUGGCAAAGCAUAUGGUACAUUCCCACCUCUCUCUCCACAAAACAUCCUCAAGGUAUUUCACAAUGAAAAUGGCGAUGGGUCAACGAUGGAUCAGCAGAGACCCGUAAGAGCAGAACUGCUUAGCUGCUCUAACCUCAUCAUAUGUAUAGAGGUCCACGCAAAGAGGAGCUCAGCGAAACAAAGCGACACGUCAGCAAGAACGUGUUCUCAAGAACGUAUGAAUCACAUCACAAUGUUCUUCAGUUUAAAAAAUCGGAGAUAGUUUCUAUUGUUUUAAAGAACUUCAGCGAUUUUUUCAAAUUUUGAUUUUUCUCUGUCUUUUGUCUCAUUUUCAACUUAAGUUUCUGUCACAUAUAAAUGACUAUGAAUA
ensembl:lncRNA